AAGAUCUAGAACAUCUCCCUCAUUGUCCAAAUGGAGAAACUGAAACCCAAAAGGGUAAAGGAACGCAUGACCCUGAGCUUUUGGACACUUGAUUGCUUUGCUUGGCCUUCUGGGAACAGUUCCUGACAGUACAGGUGCAUAAUAUAAAGUUCCUAGGAAAUCUCUCAAAGGUCAUCUGAGAAUGGAUUGUGAAAGAGCUGACUAUGUUUAACCAGGAGAAGACUUAUGGGAAGGACCACCACAUGGAAGAAGGAAUGGACUUGUUCUCCUCGGCCCUGGAGGAAAAAAGAAGGAACAAAAUGGGGAAUUCAUAAAGGACAAAUGUAGACUUUUCUGUGCCUUUGCAGUAAGAAGAGAUAGAGUUGGAGGCAACAGACUUCAUCUGAAACAAUCAACACAUGAACUGAGUUUGUUGGUAAGCAGAUUGAGGUUCAGAAAAGCAAAGUGAGUGACUUGCCCAGGGAUUAUAAGGAUAUUGAAACUCUUGAGAUCUGAAGUGAGUGUGACUUUCACCUUGAAGCCCUACCUUCACCUGUUUUGUUUUUAUUUUUGCAUUUUUUUCAAAUCUUCUUAUGUUCAGAGUGAAGAAAUCAUCUGAUAUUCAUUUCCCAAAGCCAGCAGCAAGCCUGCUGGUUAUGAUGUAUAAUUUAAAGCUUGGAGUAGACAAGUAACAAACAGGGUGAGAUUUUCCCUUCCUGUCCAGGGCACAAUUUCCUUUCGUGGCUCUGCAUGGAAGAGACCAACCUCCUUACCCAAUGAAGGCAUCCCCAGCUGAUGGAUGAUUAAAUAUGUAUUUGCUAAGUUGAUCUUUGACCUAAGCAUAGAUUUGUAAGACUUAGAUUUUGAGCUAAAAGGAACCUUGAAAAUGAUCUAGUCCAAUCCCCUAAUUUUACAGAUGGGGAAAGUGAGGCCCAGAAGCCCAAGGUUAGACAACUAAUAAAGGGCAGGUAGGU